UACAGAGGAGCCAAGCGUUGUCCGGAUUGACUGGGCGUAAAGGGCGCGUAGGCGGUGCAUUUGGUCAGGCGUGAAAGUCCUGGGCUCAACCUGGGAACUGCGCUUGAUACGGCAGAGCUAGAGGAUGGAAGAGGCUCGCGGAAUUCCCAGUGUAGAGGUGAAAUGCGUAGAUAUCUGGAGGAACACCGGUGGCGAAGGCGGCAUCCUGGACCGGCAUUGACGCUGAGGCGCGAAAGCCAGGGGAGCAAACGGG
rnacentral:rRNA from 1 species